rnacentral:rRNA from 1 species
CCCGGCGACCGGCGCACGGGUGAGUAACACGUAUGAAACCUGCCCAUAGCAGGGGGAUAAGCGGAAGAAAUUCCGUCUAAUACCGCGUAACAACCCGAGGAGGCAUCUCCUCGGGUUUAAAGGAAGCGAUUCCGGCUACGGAUGGUCAUGCGUCGCAUUAGCUAGUUGGCGGGGUAACGGCCCACCAAGGCGACGAUGCGUAGGGGUUCUGAGAGGAAGGUCCCCCACACUGGUACUGAGACACGGACCAGACUCCUACGGGAGGCAGCAG